rnacentral:rRNA from 1 species
GCAUCUAAGCAUGAAGCCCCCCUCAAGAUGAGAUUUCCCAUAGCGUCAAGCUAGUAAGAUCCCUGAAAGAUGAUCAGGUUGAUAGGUCAGAGGUGGAAGCGUGGCGACAUGUGGAGCUGACUGAUACUAAUCGAUCGAGGACUUAACCAAG